CACACACACACACACACACCCAGACCACAUACAUUUAUAAAGACAGAUGUGCAAAAAAGACACCUAACCUGUGGGUAUAUACCAGGCACACUUGUAUAUGUGUAUAUGUGUAGGC
rnacentral:sRNA from 1 species